rnacentral:rRNA from 1 species
CCUACGGGAGGCAGCAGUGAGGAAUCUUGGUCAAUGGCCGAGAGGCUGAACCAGCCAAGUCGCGUGAGGGAAUAAUGUCCUAUGGAUUGUAAACCUCUUUUGUCAGGGAGCAAAGUCACCCACGUGUGGGAGUUGGAGAGUACCCGAAGAAAAAGCAUCGGCUAACUCCGUGCCAGCAGCCGCGGGAAUACGGAGGAUGCGAGCGUUAUCGGGAUUUAUUGGGUUUAAAGGGUGCGUAGGCGGGUUAUCAAGUCAGCGGUAAAAGCGUGGAGCUCAACUCCAUCCAGCCGUGGAAACUGAUGAUCUAGAGUGGGCGAGAGGGAUGCGGAAUGCGUGGUGUAGCGGUGAAAUGCAUAGAUAUCACGCAGAACUCCGAUGGCGAAGGCAGCAUACCGGCGCCCGACUGACGCUGAGGCACGAAGGCGAGGGUAUCGAACAGGAUUAGAUACCCCGGUAGUC